AAAUGAAUUGACGGGGGCCCGCACAAGCGGAGGAACAUGUGGUUUAAUUCGAUGAUACGCGAGGAACCUUACCCGGGUUUGAAAUGCGUCUGACUAAGGUGGAAACAUCUUUUCUAGCAAUAGCAGGCGUGUAGGUGCUGCAUGGUUGUCGUCAGCUCGUGCCGUGAGGUGUCGGCUUAAGUGCCAUAACGAGCGCAACCCUUGCCGUUAGUUGCUAACAGGUAAUGCUGAGGACUCUAGCGGGACUGCCAUCGUAAGGUGUGAGGAAGGUGGGGAUGACGUCAAAUCAGCACGGCCCUUAUGUCCGGGGCGACACACGUGUUACAAUGGGGGGUACAGCGGGCAGCUACCGUGCGAGCGGAUGCUAAUCUCUGAAAGCCUCUCUCAGUUCGGAUCGGAGUCUGCAACUCGACUCUGUGAAGCCGGAUUCGCUAGUAAUCGCGCAUCAGCCAUGGCGCGGUGAAUACGUUCCCGGGCCUUGUACACACCGCCCGU
rnacentral:rRNA from 1 species